rnacentral:tRNA from 1 species
CCUGAUGGCUCAGAUGGUAAAGAACCUGCCUGCAAUGCAGGAGACCCAGGUUUGAUUCCUGGGUCAGGA